AUUGGCAUGAGCAAUAGCAAAGGGUUUUGAAAUUACUGCUGAUGCAGGCUGAAUGCAACAACGCUGCAGCAAUCUUUGUAACCUGCAUCUUCUUGUUGCUUGGCAUAUUUGGAUUGCUUCCAUAUCAAGAUUUCUCAUUUUUCUGUUCCCUGGUUUUUUUUUUUUUUUUUUUGGUGAUUUUCACUGUUGUACCUUCUUUGAAUUCUUUUAUAACAGUUUGCAUGUUGGAAAAUAUUCUUAAAUUCAGAUGCUUCCAGUUGUAGGCAAAUGCUUCUUAUCUCUACGAAUUGGGAUGUCCAUUGGUCUGGAUUAUUGAACAUAGGCAGAUUUCAGUUAUCCCUCAUGGUUCUCUACCAGUGCAAAAAAGCUAACCAAAAGGAUUCUGGACCCCAAUCCUUUAAUUGUAUGUACUUUUCCUUUUUGUGCUUUGACACAAGCACCAUGCCUUCAACGUUGACACAUCAUCAUCUCCACCAUCCUUGUAGAACACAUCCUUUUCCUCAAGUGAUUAUUGGCAACAUGCAACAUUAUAGUUGCAAUGCAAGCCCAAAAAGAAGCUCUGCCUGGAUAUGCAAUGCAAAGACAAGUUCCUCUUUCAUAGUGUCAUUACAAGUCAUGGUGCAACCAUAAAGGACAACCCCAGAAAUGGUGGGACCUUGUGUUUUCUCUAGUAGUGGAGCACAUCAUGGAGGAUUUAUUUAUUUAUUUUUAAUGUAUUCAUGCAAUUGUAAACUUAUUGUUGUAAAUAUAUAUAAUUUUUAUUAUAAAGUUGUACGAUAUUUGUUCAAUAUUAAUUUUUAAUUGUAUAUAAUAUUCUUUGGUUUUUAAAUAUAAAAACAAAUGUACAACUUUUAUUGGUCA